GCCCCGAGGGACCUGGCCAGCGUCCCGCGGCUGCCGCGGCGGGCAGGGAGCGGAGCGACGGCUCCCAGCCGCUGAUCUAGUCUCGGUGCUUUUCAUUUCAGUACAUUUUUUUAGUCGUUAUUUUUUAUCUUUACACAAAGAGCGCCCUUCUCACAGAAAAAGCAUCCCAGGACGCUGUCACCGCCUCUGCCCAUCCCUGUACCUGAGCCCUGGCUCCGCUCCUCCGCGGGCACUUUUCUCCGUGGCUCCCCGGAGGACUGGACUCUGGACCCGGUGUCGCUCUGCCAGGCUUUGGGGACGGGUUUGGUCCCGCAGCCGUCCGCUGCUGGAGGAGGCAACACGGGAGAGUGGCCUGGCAGGUGCCUGGGAGGCUGGGAUAUCCCUGCUCUGCCCGGCCGCCUCCCAAAAGCGCGAUUCCCGGCACCGGGAAGUCCCGGUCGCAGCUGGAGAACAAAGCGAGCGGAUAUAUGAAACACGUCCUUGCUCUCCUACCUGCAUCCCCUCUGGUUCUCUUAAUGAAAGGAUACAGCAGCAGACAGUGUCCCGAGGCAUCUUUCGCAGAAGGCAGCUCACAUUUUGUGAGGCUCCACGAGGGACCACAGGCAGCUCUGGCUGCACUAGGGAAUGA
rnacentral:lncRNA from 1 species